UUACAGAGUUCAUGCCCUCACGGGUAGAUCUCCCACCCUUUGAGUACUAUACUUUUGUUGCUUUGGCAGGCCGCUUCGGCUACCGGCUUCGGCUGGUGAGUGCCUGCCAGAGGACCCCAAACUCUGAAUUAUAGUGUCGUCUGAGAACUAUAUAAUAGUUAAAACUUUCAACAACGGAUCUCUUGGUUCUGGCAUCGAUGAAGAACGCAGCGAAAUGCGAUAAGUAAUGUGAAUUGCAGAAUUCAGUGAAUCAUCGAAUCUUUGAACGCACAUUGCGCCCCUUGGUAUUCCGGGGGGCAUGCCUGUUCGAGCGUCAUUAUAACCCUCAAGCCUAGCUUGGUGUUGGAGCCUGCCUCUGGGCAGCUCUUAAAAUCAGUGGCGGUGCCGUCUGGCUCUAAGCGUAGUAAUUCUUCUCGCUACAGGGUCCCGGCGGUUGCUUGCCAACAACCCCAAAUUUUCUAUGGUUGACCUCGGAUCAGGUAGGGAUACCCGCUGAACUUAAGCAUAUCAAUAAGCGGAGGAAAAGAAACCAACAGGGAUUGCCUCAGUAACGGCGAGUGAAGCGGCAACAGCUCAAAUUUGAAAUCUGGCUCUUUCAGGGUCCGAGUUGUAAUUUGUAGAAGAUGCUUCGGGUGUGGUUCCCGGUCUAAGUUCCUUGGAACAGGACGUCAUAGAGGGUGAGAAUCCCGUAUGUGACCGGCUACCUUCGCUCAUGUGAAGCUCUUUCGACGA
rnacentral:rRNA from 1 species